CUUCACGGUGCCCAGCAGCAGCGGACGGCCGGGCUCGCGGUCCCUGCCGUAGGUGGCGAGCAGCGCCUGCGCCUC
rnacentral:antisense_RNA from 1 species